CCCCGACUGGUGUAGUGGUAACACGUCGAUUGACACCUGAGGAAAAUAGCCUUCAAAACGCUAUUUUCUUGGGCCCGUUCGCGGGGCCGAAGUCCCAGAUUCGAUUCCUGGGUUGGGGA